rnacentral:rRNA from 1 species
CCUACGGGUGGCAGCAGUGAGGAAUAUUGGUCAAUGGGCGCGAGCCUGAACCAGCCAAGUAGCGUGAAGGAUGACUGCCCUACGGGUUGUAAACUUCUUUUAUAAAGGAAUAAAAUGUUGCACGUGUGGCUUUUUGUAUGUACUUUAUGAAUAAGGAUCGGCUAACUCCGUGCCAGCAGCCGCGGUAAUACGGAGGAUCCGAGCGUUAUCCGGAUUUAUUGGGUUUAAAGGGAGCGUAGAUGGGUUGUUAAGUCAGUUGUGAAAGUUUGCGGCUCAACCGUAAAAUUGCAAUUGAUACUGGCAGUCUUGAGUACAGUAGAGGUAGGCGGAAUUCGUGGUGUAGCGGUGAAAUGCUUAGAUAUCACGAAGAACUCCGAUUGCGAAGGCAGCCUACUAAACUGCCACUGACAUUGAUGCUCGAAAGUGUGGGUAUCAAACAGGAUUAGAUACCCUAGUAGUC